AACGAACGCUGGCGGCAUGCCUAACACAUGCAAGUCGAACGAGACCUUCGGGUCUAGUGGCGCACGGGUGCGUAACGCGUGGGAACCUGCCCUUAGGUUCGGAAUAACUCCCCGAAAGGGGUGCUAAUACCGGAUAAUGUCUUCGGACCAAAGAUUUAUCGCCUUUGGAUGGGCCCGCGUUGGAUUAGCUAGUUGGUAGGGUAAAAGCCUAUCAAGGCGACGAUCCAUAGCUGGUCUGAGAGGAUGAUCAGCCACACUGGGACUGAGACACGGCCCAGACUCCUACGGGAGGCAGCAGUGGGGAAUAUUGGACAAUGGGCGAAAGCCUGAUCCAGCAAUGCCGCGUGAGUGAUGAAGGCCUUAGGGUUGUAAAGCUCUUUUACCCGGGAUGAUAAUGACAGUACCGGGAGAAUAAGCGCCGGCUAACUCCGUG
rnacentral:rRNA from 1 species